rnacentral:rRNA from 1 species
UACGUAGGGUGCAAGCGUUAAUCGGAAUUACUGGGCGUAAAGCGUGCGCAGGCGGUUAUGUAAGACAGUUGUGAAAUCCCCGGGCUCAACCUGGGGAAUUGCAUCUGUGACUGCAUAGCUAGAGUACGGUAGAGGGGGAUGGAAUUCCGCGUGUAGUGGUGAAAUGCGUAGAGAUGCGGAGGAACACCAGUGGCGAAAGCGACUUUCUGGUCCUUAACUGACGCUGAGGCGCGAAAGCAUGGGGAGCGAACGGG